rnacentral:lncRNA from 1 species
CAUCCUAAGGAUAUAUAACGAGCAAUUUGGAAAAAUAAAUUUGUCGGUUUCUUAUACGGUUGCGAAGUAGUAGUGGCCACAAGAAAAACAGUGUUUGGGGAGAUAACUCUUACAAGGUAAAGGUUUUUGUUACGCGGUGUCAGUUUCAGAAGCGCAUUAACUGUUCGAUAUCAUAUACCAAAUAUCUAAGCGACAUCUUGUGAAACAAAAAAACAGCGAAGGAAAAAAAAGUUGGCGGAAGAAAAAAAAAA